CCCCUCUCAGGGUCACACCUGGAGAUUUUCCAGUACUCCACCGGUCUCGGCUACGGGAGGGAGAGACAAGCAGAGGCCCACCCAUUCCAUUCCUAGCUUGGGCAAUGGCUAGUGAGUGGAAGACCAUCUGCUACAAGU